GACAGGUGCUGCAUGGCUGUCGUCAGCUCGUGUCGUGAGAUGUUGGGUUAAGUCCCGCAACGAGCGCAACCCUUGCCUUUAGUUGCCAGCAGUUCGGCUGGGCACUCUAAAGGGACUGCCGGUGUUAAACCGGAGGAAGGUGGGGAGUGACGUCAAGUCCUCAUGGCCUUUAUGACCAGGGCUACACACGUACUACAAUGGCCGAUACAAAGGGCAGCGACACUGCGAGGUGAAGCCAAUCCCGUAAAAAUCGGUCUCAGUCCGGAUUGGAGUCUGCAACUCGACUCCAUGAAGUUGGAAUCGCUAGUAAUCGUGGAUCAGCAUGCCACGGUGAAUACGUUCCCGGGCCUU
rnacentral:rRNA from 1 species